rnacentral:rRNA from 1 species
AUUGAACGCUGGCGGCAGGCCUAACACAUGCAAGUCGAACGGUAGCACAGAGAGCUUGCUCUCGGGUGACGAGUGGCGGACGGGUGAGUAAUGUCUGGGAAACUGCCCGAUGGAGGGGGAUAACUACUGGAAACGGUAGCUAAUACCGCAUAACGUCGCAAGACCAAAGUGGGGGACCUUCGGGCCUCACACCAUCGGAUGUGCCCAGAUGGGAUUAGCGAGUAGGUGGGGUAAUGGCUCACCUAGGCGACGAUCCCUAGCUGGUCUGAGAGGAUGACCAGCCACACUGGAACUGAGACACGGUCCAGACUCCUACGGGAGGCAGCAGUGGGGAAUAUUGCGCAAUGGGCGCAAGCCUGAUGCAGCCAUGCCGCGUGUAUGAAGAAGGCCUUCGGGUUGUAAAGUACUUUCAGCGGGGAGGAAGGCGGUGAAGUUAAUAACUUCACCGAUUGACGUUACCCGCAGAAGAAGCACCGGCUAACUCCGUGCCAGCAGCCGCCGUAA